CAUACAGAGUUUAUUGGCAUUCUGUCCACCUCCUAUCGAUCUCGAUCGAGAUUUCUUUGUUUAUAUGGAGAUAUGUGGAGGUGGGCAUACUGCCAACUGAGCUCUGUUGG
rnacentral:pre_miRNA from 1 species